CAACAGGGAUUGCCCUAGUAACGGCGAGUGAAGCGGCAACAGCUCAAAUUUGAAAUCUGGCUCUUUUAGAGUCCGAGUUGUAAUUUGCAGAGGGCGCUUUGGCUUUGGCAGCGGUCCAAGUUCCUUGGAACAGGACGUCACAGAGGGUGAGAAUCCCGUACGUGGUCGCUGGCUAUUGCCGUGUAAAGCCCCUUCGACGAGUCGAGUUGUUUGGGAAUGCAGCUCUAAAUGGGAGGUACAUUUCUUCUAAAGCUAAAUAUUGGCCAGAGACCGAUAGCGCACAAGUAGAGUGAUCGAAAGAUGAAAAGCACUUUGGAAAGAGAGUCAAACAGCACGUGAAAUUGUUAAAAGGGAAGCGCUUGCAGCCAGACUUGCUUACAGUUGCUCAUCCGGGCUUUUGCCCGGUGCACUCUUCUGUAGGCAGGCCAGCAUCAGUUUGGGCGGUAGGAUAAAGGUCUCUGUCACGUACCUCCUUUCGGGGAGGCCUUAUAGGGGAGACGACAUACUACCAGCCUGGACUGAGGUCCGCGCAUCUGCUAGGAUGCUGGCGUAAUGGCUGUAAGCGGCCCGUCUUGAAACACGGACCAAGGAGUCUAACAUCUAUGCGAGUGUUUGGGUGUCAAGCCCGAGCGCGUAAUGAAAGUGAACGGAGGUGGGAACCCGCAAGGGUGCACCAUCGACCGAUCCUGAUGUCUUCGGAAGGAUUUGAGUAAGAGCAUGGCUGUUGGGACCCGAAAGAUGGUGAACUAUGCUUGAAUAGGGUGAAGCCAGAGGAAACUCUGGUGGAGGCUCGCAGCGGUUCUGACGUGCAAAUCGAUCGUCAAAUUUGGGCAUAGGGGCGAAAGACUAAUCGAACUAUC
rnacentral:rRNA from 1 species